ACCUCUGUAGCUCAGUGGCAGGGCGCUGGUCUUGUAAACCAGAGGUCGUGAUUUCAAUCCUCACAUUAGGCA